GAUGAACGCUGGCGGCGUGCCUAAUACAUGCAAGUCGAGCGAACAGACGAGGAGCUUGCUCCUCUGACGUUAGCGGCGGACGGGUGAGUAACACGUGGAUAACCUACCUAUAAGACUGGGAUAACUUCGGGAAACCGGAGCUAAUACCGGAUAAUAUAUUGAACCUCAUGGUUCAAUAGUGAAAGACGGUUUUGCUGUCACUUAUAGAUGGAUCCGCGCCGCAUUAGCUAGUUGGUAAGGUAACGGCUUACCAAGGCGACGAUGCGUAGCCGACCUGAGAGGGUGAUCGGUCACACUGGAACUGAGACACGGUCCAGACUCCUACGGGAGGCAGCAGUAGGGAAUCUUCCGCAAUGGGCGAAAGCCUGACGGAGCAACGCCGCGUGAGUGAUGAAGGUCUUCGGAUCGUAAAACUCUGUUAUUAGGGAAGAACAAAUGUGUAAGUAACUAUGCACGUCUUGACGGUACCUAAUCAGAAAGCCACGGCUAACUACGUG
rnacentral:rRNA from 1 species